rnacentral:lncRNA from 1 species
ACCUAUUUGGGGGGCGUCACACUCAGGGUAUGUUGAUACCAUGAUGAUGUCAACUUGAAAUUGUUUCACAAUUUAUUCCUUGACUUUCAAACUUCACUCAGGUUUUAAUCGCCUGAGUUUCUGUUUGACUAUCUUGAAUCCCUCUUUAAUGGGUAGGCGAUGAAUGACUAUGUCAGUGCACAAACCGAUCAUGUAUUCAUGAGACCAUGCAAACAUAUCUUGGAAUUGGGAC